UCAUGAAAACGGCACGCAAGCUUUGACAAAAAAUUUAAGAAGAAAAGAAGAAGAAAAGUCAAAUAAAAUAUCUCCUCUCUAUUGAUUCUGUAUCUCUGCUCAAGAAGUAUCUCGAUUUCGAACGGAUAUAGAACCAGCCUUCACGCGGCUACUCCUAGUCGAUUAAAUGAUUUGCUGGAGAGGGCUAGAGUCUCUAUGCAGAUGAUUAGAUUAUUUAGCUCUUGAUGAGGCCUACAGGAUGCUGGCUGGAUAUGGGCUUUGAAUCACAAAUUAGAAAGAUUUUUCCAACGGAUGGACAUGCCUCCACGUAUAGUUAGACAAACACUGUUGUUCUGUGCUACUUUUCCUAGUGAUAUUCAGGUUGGUAGUACAACGAUUCUGUGUUUACAUAAUUCAUUUUCAAAUUUGAGAAGAUUAGCGUAUCCAGAGACUGGCAGCUGACUUCUUCAGCAAAUUAUAUAUUUUUGGCUGUGGAUAGAGUAGGUUCAAGUACAGACUUAAUUGUCCAAAGGGUGGAGUUCGUUCUUGAUUCUGACAAGAGAUGUCAUCUCGUUCCUCUUUUGGUGGUGGUAAGAACCGGCGGUGUGGUGGUCGGUUUGGAGGUGGUGACUUUAGAAAAGAAGGGUCAUGCAGUAGAGGAGGAGGAGGUGCUAGCAAUUACUAUGGCGGUGGAGGAGGUUAUGGUGCUCCUAGUGGUGUAUAUGGCGGAGAAACUCUUAAGUGCUUGGGGACUAAGCUUCUAGUCUAGCGUUUUGGGUAUACCUCUGAUUAUUAUUUUUCUUCCACAUUCCCAAAGAGAAAGAGUGUGUAUUACCCCUUACAGCUAUAUGAGAUUUCAUUCAAGAGGUGGAUACAUAACUAAUGUUAGGUGAUUUGAUCCUUUGGGCUAUUCUUAGGGGAUGUCCUAAAAGUAACAGUCACCAAGCUUCACAGUGUUUGUGUCCAAGUUUUGAUCAUGUUCUUGGUUUCUUAUAAAGUUAUAGCGCAGCUUCACUUUU